AUCGCUUCUCGGCCUUUUGACUAAGAUCAAGGGUAGUAUCUGUUCUUAUCAGUAAAUAAAUCACCAUGCCAUACAGUUAAUAAACUUAAGUGUUGUGUGUGUGUGUGUGUGUGUCUUCAUAUGAAAAUCUAAUGACUGUUCGUCAAGGGCUGUAUUAGACAUUUU
rnacentral:snRNA from 1 species